AUUGAACGCUGGCGGCGGGCCUAACACAUGCAAGUCGAGCGGAUGAAGGGAGCUUGCUCCUGGAUUCAGCGGCGGACGGGUGAGUAAUGCCUAGGAAUCUGCCUGGUAGUGGGGGAUAACGUCCGGAAACGGGCGCUAAUACCGCAUACGUCCUGAGGGAGAAAGUGGGGGAUCUUCGGACCUCACGCUAUCAGAUGAGCCUAGGUCGGAUUAGCUAGUUGGUGGGGUAAAGGCCUACCAAGGCGACGAUCCGUAACUGGUCUGAGAGGAUGAUCAGUCACACUGGAACUGAGACACGGUCCAGACUCCUACGGGAGGCAGCAGUGGGGAAUAUUGGACAAUGGGCGAAAGCCUGAUCCAGCCAUGCCGCGUGUGUGAAGAAGGUCUUCGGAUUGUAAAGCACUUUAAGUUGGGAGGAAGGGCAGUAAGUUAAUACCUUGCUGUUUUGACGUUACCAACAGAAUAAGCACCGGCUAGCUUCGUG
rnacentral:rRNA from 1 species